UACUAUUCUUGCCUGAUCGGCCUAAAUAA
rnacentral:piRNA from 1 species